rnacentral:tRNA from 1 species
CAGAAAAUAGUUUAAUGCGAGAAUACCAGCUUUGGGAGUUGGUGGUAAAGGUUUGAGUCCUUUUUUUCUGA